rnacentral:rRNA from 1 species
GAUGAACGCUGGCGGCGUGCUUAACACAUGCAAGUCGAACGAAGCUGCUUAACUGAUCUUCUUCGGAAUUGACGUUUUGUAGACUGAGUGGCGGACGGGUGAGUAACGCGUGGGUAACCUACCCUGUACAGGGGGAUAACAGUCAGAAAUGACUGCUAAUACCGCAUAAGACCACAGCACCGCAUGGUGCAGGGGUAAAAACUCCGGUGGUACAGGAUGGACCCGCGUCUGAUUAGCUGGUUGGUGAGGUAACGGCUCACCAAGGCAACGAUCAGUAGCCGGCUUGAGAGAGUGAACGGCCACACUGGGACUGAGACACGGCCCAAACUCCUACGGGAGGCAGCAGUGGGGAAUAUUGCACAAUGGGGGAAACCCUGAUGCAGCGACGCCGCGUGAGUGAAGAAGUAUCUCGGUAUGUAAAGCUCUAUCAGC